rnacentral:rRNA from 1 species
CCGCGGCGCAUUAGCUAGUUGGUGAGGUAACGGCUCACCAAGGCGACGAUGCGUAGCCGACCUGAGAGGGUGAUCGGCCACACUGGGACUGAGACACGGCCCAGACUCCUACGGGAGGCAGCAGUAGGGAAUCUUCCACAAUGGGCGAAAGCCUGAUGGAGCAACGCCGCGUGAGUGAAGAAGGAUUUCGGUUCGUAAAACUCUGUUGUAAGGGAAGAACAAGUACAGUAGUAACUGGCUGUACCUUGACGGUACCUUAUUAGAAAGCCACGGCUAACUACGUGCCAGCAGCCGCGGUAAUACGUAGGUGGCAAGCGUUGUCCGGAAUUAUUGGGCGUAAAGCGCGCGCAGGUGGUUCCUUAAGUCUGAUGUGAAAGCCCACGGCUCAACC